UCUCUCGGAGGGGCGCAGAGGCCGGGUGUGUGCCAGGCCCCACACGGGGUGACCUGGCCCCUCAGGCUGGUCCGGAGCUGCUCUAGCCCUUGGCGCUGACCCCGCUUAUCCCAGCACGUUACUGUCGCUGCGGCUCUGUCCCUACUUACGUCGCGGAGGCGGGCAUGCCGGAGUGUAAGUCAUAGCUAGGCCGAGCUAAAGGAUCUACGAGAGGGGAGAAAACCAAGACGCAGAGGUGAGCUGGGUCGGGCCCGCGGGAGGGAAGGGGCAACCCAGCUGCGCCCCUGCCUCUGCCUCUGCCCCGCGGGAAGACCCGGCCGGGCCCGCUCCCGGGCGGCGGCAAGGUGAAUUCCUCGACGCGGCCAUCUUAGGGCACCGGCCCGGCCCGGCCCGCCCCGCCCGGCGCGGGGCAGCAGCCGCCCGGGGAGCGGGGCCAGGCUUCGGCCGGCGCUGAGGUGGGGGCCCACCGCGCCCGCCCCUCCGCCGGGUCCCUCCAGGCCAAGCGCCGCCCCCCGCCCGCGGGAGGCCGAGGCCCGGGCCGUCACCUGGGCGCAGAGCUGGCGCGGGAGCGGGGCCGAAGCGGCGGGGCCGGGCUGGCUGCGGCCGCUCGUGCUGGAGGGCGAAGUGAAGGAGACACCGAUCCGCCCGCCGCCGCGGAGGACCCCAACGAGCCGGGGCCGCCCAGCUCGCCGCCUGCUCCGCCGCCGCACCCGGCCCCUGCUGUCCCGCCUCGAGGGCGGGCCCCGCUUCUUACAGAGACGCCUCGUCCCAGUGGGGAAUAGGCAGCGGAAAGUGAAGUCAAGCAGGCCUCCUGCCCACGGGGAAAGAUCUCUGCCCUUCGAGCCUUAAAUGAAGAUAAGCAAGCGCCCAUCGGCACCGGGCCUAAAACAUUACCCAAAUGAUGGCCCUGUCCCCUCACGGGGAGUCAAAGGCAUACACAGAGAAGUCAGGCUGCACCUAGGAGCAACAGGAAGGAGCUGUAGGGAGCUAAACCAGAGAUCACUAAUAAACAUGUAGUUUAAGGAUUACAA